rnacentral:rRNA from 1 species
AACCAAGGGGUUAAGUUGUACUUUAACGGUAAAAAGACAGUUAAACAGUAUGCUGUAAGUUUAUUCACCAUGCCAUUAAGAGGUAGAAUUCGCAUAUGGCUGAAUAUAUCUAAUGGAACAAAUGUGUUGAAGCUGUGAUAACUUUGAGGGAAACUAGGAUUAGAUACCCUAUUAUUCAUAGAAGUAAAUAAGAAAACUUUCUACCAGAGUACUAAGAACAAAAAAUUUAAAACUCAAAGGGCUUGGCGGUGUUUUAGACUACUUAGGGGAACCUGUCUCGUAAUCGACAAUCCGCGUUAAACCUAACCUUAUCUUGCGUUCAGUUUGUAUACCGUCGUCGCCAGGUAACUUUUAAAAUAUAAACAGUUAGCUAAUAAAUACUUUAAUUAAGACGUCAGAUCAAGGUGCAGCUAACGAGAAGGUGUAGAUGGGUUACAAUUAUAAUACUAAUAAUGACCGACAAUAAACUUUGAAGGUGAUUGGCAAGGAGGACUUAAAAGUAAAAUAGAUUAUAUAAAUAUCUUGAAUAAAGCUCUGAAACGUGC